GGUCGCUUAACUCAGUUGGUUAGAGUGUCGUACUAAUAACCGGUGUCCUGCACCUGGUCCUUACAUGCGAAAGUCGCCAGUUCGAUCCUGGUAGUGACCA